rnacentral:rRNA from 1 species
UACGUAGGGUGCGAGCGUUGUCCGGAAUUAUUGGGCGUAAAGAGCUCGUAGGCGGUCUGUUGCGUCCGCUGUGAAAACUCGGGGCUUAACCCCGAGCCUGCAGUGGAUACGGGCAGACUAGAGGUAGGUAGGGGAGAAUGGAAUUCCCGGUGUAGCGGUGAAAUGCGCAGAUAUCGGGAGGAACACCGGUGGCGAAGGCGGUUCUCUGGGCCGAUACUGACGCUGAGGAGCGAAAGCGUGGGGAGCGAACAGG